GGGACAGCAGUCAGGCCAGGCAGAGGACAUGGAGAGCCACGGAUGACUGCAGGACACCUCAUCAGGACCCAAGUGGACUUCAGUCCUCAGAGCUCCAAAAGCGAGGGCAAAGCAUGCCUCCUGUGGAGACUGGUCCUCCCAGGAUGGUUCUCAAGCUGUUCAAAGUCUGGAAGGAGGGAGGGGCCUGUCCCCAGCUCAAGGCUGCCAGCUGCUUCCCAAAGGCAUCUGGUUUCCCAAAGAGAAACGAAAAGGAUGUCCUGGAAACUGAGGCCUCAAGGAACCGCUGCACCCUACAGUCAGCCUACUAGGCAUGAUGGCCCCAGGCGCAGGGGCAGAGUGAGCAUCAGCUGUGAGGACCACUGGAUGGACCUCUGGGGAGUCACCCAGGGAGAGCUUAUCAAGCGAAUGCCAUGGUAUGUGUGUGGGGGGAUUCGGGGUCACAUUAACUACAUGGCCCUUUGGGAAGGUCACUGGGUUCUGUGCCGCACAGUUUACGCCAGCAAUUUCACAGCCAAACAUGAGUUCUACAUAUGGGCAGCCAUGCUAAUUACAGCGUUAAGGAGACACAGCUAAAAUCUUCAUCAUCUGGAGACUGGCUGGAUAAAAUGAACACAAAAUGGAAUUCCAAGCAGUCACCUAAAUGAACAGAGUGGACUUUUACAGACUCGGUUGAAAAGAUGCCAUCGAAUGAAUAGUGUUGGUGGGCUGAGGUGAUGGCUCAGUGGUUAAGACCACUUGUUGUGCAAGCAUGAGGGAACUGAGUUCAGAUUCCCAGCACCCACUAAAAAAAAAAAAAAAAAAAAGCUAACCAUGGCUGUAUGCACCUGUAACCCCAGAGCUGGUGGGGAUGCGAUGUGGGGAGGGGGUGUCUUGGAAACAGCAGAAUCACCGUGGCUUGCUCAUCAGCCCUGCAGGAAAAAUAAAGUGGUGAGGGACCCUGUUUCAAGGGUGAUAAGACAGACAGAGCCAGAUAGCCAAUGUUUUUUUCCUUUGGCUUCCUCACAUGCAUAUCACACACACAGACACACACAGACACAUGCACACACACAAAGGGGGAAAGGGAGAGAGAGACAGAAAGAGAGAGAGGGAGAUUAACAAAUGGAAGAACUAGCACAAUGUAAUUGCCUACCAGAUGGAGGUAUGUACAUGUUGUGUGUUUGGAAGUAUGCAUAAAUAAAUACAAUA